GGAAACAGGCAGAGAAAAACACAGUAAAAAGAACAUGCAUUCAAAACCAGUCACAAGGUUUAUCCCUCGCUGCAAAGCAGGAAUUCACACCCGCUAAGUCCACUCGGGACCGGCGCACUGAAGGCAUAAAGAGAGACAGCAGCCCACGGGAUGUGAUGGAGCACAGAAGCAGAAAGCUGGAGAGACGGUGCAGUGGGAGGCGGCAGGGAAGAGGUUAAGGGCCAGGACGACUUUGUGAGCAGGAGAGGCGGCAGCAGCACAAGGUUUUUACUGCCCCAUGGCAGCAGGGAGGGUGUGACUGAGAGCUAAACAGUGCAGGAUGGCCUCAUCGGAAAGCAGCCCCCACUGAGUCACCGGCUGAGUCACAGCCUUGCCCGGCGUCUAUUCUUUUCCCAAUCAAGGAAACAGCAACUUCCCACAAUCUUCUUUUAAGGCUUUUCUGUUCAGAUGCUGAGCAUUCCUGCACCAAGCCUCUACUCUUGACAAUCCCCUGCGCCCUUCCCUGUCUGUAACCCAGCGGGAGGCACAAUCCUUCAAAGCGCACAGUGUCCUGAGGGAGGAAGCGCGCUGCUGCGUCUCCUAAGCAGAAAUGGGAUUUACUGCUGCUCGGCCCAUGACACGAUGUCUUUUGCAGUCUUGCAGUAAUCUCAGAGAAGGAUCAGCACUUAGGAGAGACCUGCAUCCUAGAGCACUGAGACAGCCAAAGAAUGUUGGUUUCCUGGUGUGAGCCACAAGCAAAUACAAAAUUGCACUGAGAACAUGCACAGAGCCAAUGCCAGCCGGCUCCAAGACAGACCCACCGCUGGCCAAGGAUGAGCCCUCAGUGAUGGUGGUAGAGCUUCUGGGGUAACAGAGUUCAGAAUGGGGGAAAAAAAAACCCAAACCAGCAGCAUUUGCAGCCAGCGAGAGGAGUGAGAAGAUGUGAGCAGAACAACUCUGCAGACACCAAGGUCAGUGCAGAAGGAGGGGUGGGAGGUGCUCCAGGCACCGGAGCAGAGAUUUCCCUGCAGCCCAUGGAGAAGACCAUGGUGAGGCAGGCUGUCCCCCUGCAGCCCAUGGAGGAUGAUGGUGUAGCAGAUAUGCACCCGCAGCCUGUGGAGGGACCCCACGCUGGAGCAGGGGCAGAGUGUGAGGAGUCCUCCCCCUGAGGAGGAGGGAGUGGCAGAGACACCGUGUGAUGAACUGACCACAACCCCCAUUCCCCGUCCCCCCUGUGCCCCUGGAGGGGACGAGGGAGAGAAAUGGGGAGUGAA